AUUGAGCAUGUUGAAUUUGAUGUUGUAUCUACUAAGGAAGGAGAGGAGACGUCAAUUCUACUUAAUCACCCUCCUUGAG
rnacentral:sRNA from 1 species